GUAUAUAUAAUUUAAAUAAAAUAUUAAACUGUGACUUUAAUUAUGAGAGUUAAAACCUCUCU
rnacentral:tRNA from 1 species